CGCCGAGGCGGCCCUGCCCUUACGGUUCCCUGCGCGGAGGCGAGUCCCUGGUUCGAAAAGCAGCAGAGCUAAAGAGGAGAGGCAGCGUGGGGGCGUUUGUGAACUGUCAACUGCCGACCUGCGCUCCCUGAUAAGCCAGUAUUCACCAUCCAUCCUGUGUGCGAUGAAAGCUUUUAUCCAAACGCGUUGGAAGCCCCAUCACUUGGUGGCUUUUGGAGCAUCCCUCGGGCCAAGCCGAGAAAAUCAGAAUGUGUGCUUUUUUUCUUUUUUUCAAUUCCACCAUUUACCCACGCACACUGCCAGAAACGUGCCCAUUUUUUUUUCUAGUCGUUUCUUAGUGGCCCCAAAUUCUCGCUGAACAAAGGCCCUUCAGCCCUGGGGACAGAGGAUCAACAGUGGAAUGGGAGGGCUUCGGGAAGGUUCGCGUUUCGAGAUUCCCUCCCCGAGCGACCUGAUUGGUGUGUGCACGGGAGAUCCCUUCCCUUUUUCAAGAAGAUGCUCUUGGAGUCCACCGUCCCUUCAGGUUCUGACAAUCUCUGUCCCGUGCAUAAAAGGAUUGGAGUGAAAAAGCAGGGCAGCAGAGCGACAAACUUUGACGUGGGAGGGGGGCCACAGACAGACAGGUUCCGCGCUCAGGUGUUUGGCUGAGAUUUCCUUUGGGCCAUUUUUCUUCGGUCAGGCGGCGCCGCGGACACCUUUGCUCCGCGGUGAUUGGCCUGCGGCGGGGUCCUCGCGUUUGUCCAAUAUGGCGGCGCCCAGUGGCGGUGUGAACUGUGAGGAGUUCGCUGAGUUCCAGGAAUUACUCAAGGUGAUGAGGACAAUUGAUGACAGAAUAGUUCAUGAAUUAAACACUACGGUUCCAACAGCUUCCUUUGCAGGGAAAAUUGAUGCCAGCCAAACCUGUAAACAACUUUAUGAGUCUUUGAUGGCAGCUCAUGCCAGUAGGGACAGAGUCAUAAAAAAUUGUAUAGCCCAGACCUCAGAAGUAGUAAGAAACCUCCGAGAAGAAAGAGAAAAGAAUUUGGAUGAUUUAACAUUAUUAAAGCAACUUAGAAAAGAACAGACAAAGCUGCUGCCUGACUUUGAAAAGGGGACCUUGUCAUCUCUCUGAGACUCUAGGAGAAAAGAGCAGCUCUGUUCCUUGUUGCUGCACACAGUUGAAAUGGAUGCAGUCAGAACUAAAUGUUGAAGAAGUCGUAAAUGACAGGAGCUGGAAGGUGUUUAAUGAACGCUGCCGAAUUCACUUCAAGCCUCCAAAGAAUGAAUGAAGAAGGAAAGAUGAAUUUUUUUAAGGACCGGAUCAUCUCACGAGAGCUAAGCAUGACAGGCAUCAGCGGGCAGGCUUCCUAGGAUGAUUUCUGAGCCAGCAGUCCAAGACCUUGUGUUGAUUUCAGCCCCACUUAGCCAAGACCUCAAGUAUAAAUAAUUCUGAUAAUUAUGGAGAAAUCAACUGCUAUUUUAUACCAAUUCUGUAAAAAGAGAUGUUUUGUAACUAUUAAAAUAAUUUUCUGAUUCAGUGUA